rnacentral:lncRNA from 1 species
UGAAAACUCACCAUGUAAAUGAGUGAUCAGAAAUACAUACUAUUCUUGUAAAAUGUCUCAAAAUACCUGAUUACACUGUCAGUGUUAACAUCUUUUAAAACAGUAGUCAUGGCCUAUAAAAGAUGCCUAGGUGUUUAUCUAUGUCAUGUGUGGAUAGCACCCAGAUAAAUCUCAGGAAAAAUGUAUAUGAAAUGGUCAGUGUGUUAGCGAUUAUUGAUAUGGAGUGUUCACCUGAAUGGUGAGCAUGAACAGAAGCAUGCUUGUGCCAACAAAGAAGAAAGAAGUUCACCUGGAUGUAGCUCAGCUGGCAAGUCCUGAAUAUGAGUAUCCAUGGAGAGAAUCCAAACAUAGGUGA